rnacentral:rRNA from 1 species
AGCGAACGCUGGCGGCAGGCCUAACACAUGCAAGUCGAGCGGGCACUUUCGGGUGUCAGCGGCGGACGGGUGAGUAACGCGUGGGAACGUGCCCUCUGGUUCGGAAUAACUCAGGGAAACUUGGGCUAAUACCGGAUACGCCCUUUUGGGGAAAGGCUUGCUGCCGGAGGAUCGGCCCGCGUCUGAUUAGCUAGUUGGUGAGGUAACGGCUCACCAAGGCGACGAUCAGUAGCUGGUCUGAGAGGAUGAUCAGCCACACUGGGACUGAGACACGGCCCAGACUCCUACGGGAGGCAGCAGUGGGGAAUAUUGGACAAUGGGCGCAAGCCUGAUCCAGCCAUGCCGCGUGAGUGAUGAAGGCCUUAGGGUUGUAAAGCUCUUUUAUCCGGGACGAUAAUGACGGUACCGGAGGAAUAAGCCCCGGCUAACUUCGUG